ACUUAUUUAAUAUAUAUAAUAUAGUAUAUUUGACUUCCAAUUAAAAAGACUGUUUUACAGAAUAAGUA
rnacentral:tRNA from 1 species